UGGCGGUUUGUGAAGGCGAAUGUGGACUAUCGCAUUCAAACACAGACUCUUCAUCCUCACUAUCAUCUCCUCCUUGCUGUGAGAAAUUCACUAAGAUUCUGUGAACCGUGUCAAUGUCGAACAAAGUGUCUCCUGCAUGACGAAAAGACGGGAUCAAGAGAUCGUCAAGAGUCGCCAUAUCGAGCUGAGAACCUAACCUCCUCUCAAGAUCAAGCCUGCAGGAAACUGAAGUAUCA